rnacentral:rRNA from 1 species
GGCAGGGGGCUAACUGCAGUAGACGCUGAGGUUUGGUGUUUACACUAGACUGAUGAGUUGCGAACGGGUGAGUAACGCGUAGGUAACCUGCCUCAUAGCGGGGGAUAACUAUUGGAAACGAUAGCUAAUACCGCAUAAGAGUAAUUAACACAUGUUAGUUAUUUAAAAGGAGCAAUUGCUUCACUGUGAGAUGGACCUGCGUUGUAUUAGCUAGUUGGUGAGGUAAAGGCUCACCAAGGCGACGAUACAAAGCCGACCUGAGAGGGUGAUCGGCCACACUGGGACUGAGACACGGCCCAGACUCCUACGGGAGGCACCAGUAGGGAAUCUUCGGCAAUGGACGGAAGUCUGACCGAGCAACACCGCGUGAGUGAAGAAGGUUUUCGGAUCGUAAAGCUCUGUUGUUAGAGAAGAACGUUGGUAGGAGUGGAAAAUCUACCAAGUGACAGUAACUAACCAAAAAGGGACGGCUAACUACGUGCCAACCGCCGCGGUAAUACGUAGGUCCCGAGCGUUGUCCGGAUUUAUUGGGCGUAAAGCGAGCGCACGCGGUUCUUUAAGUCUGAAGUUAAAGGCAGAGGCUUAACCAUUGUACGCUUUGGAAACUGGAGGACUUGAGUGCAGAAGGGGAGAGUGGAAUUCCAUGUGUAACGGUGAAAUGCGUAGAUAUAUGGAGGAACACCGGUGGCGAAAGCGGCUCUCUGGUCUGUAACUGACACUGAGGCUCGAAAGCGUGGGGAGCAAACAGGAUUAGAUACCCUGGUAGUCCACGCCGUAAACGAUGAGGGCUAGGUGUUAGGCCCUUUCCCGGGCUUAAUGCCUCAGCUAACGCAUUAAAAACUCCGCCCUGGGGAGUACAACCCCCAGGGUGAAACUCAAAGGAAAUGGACGGGGGCCCCCCCAACCGGNGGACCAUGUGGGUUAAUUUCCAUCAUUCGGA